rnacentral:rRNA from 1 species
AUUGAACGCUGGCGGCAGGCCUAACACAUGCAAGUCGAGCGCCCCGCAAGGGGAGCGGCAGACGGGUGAGUAACACGUGGGAACAUACCCUUUACUACGGAACAACUCCGGGAAACUGGAGCUAAUACCGUAUGUGCCCUUUGGGGGAAAGAUUUAUCGGUAAAGGAUAGGCCCGCGUUGGAUUAGCUAGUUGGUGGGGUAAAGGCCUACCAAGGCGACGAUCCAUAGCUGGUCUGAGAGGAUGAUCAGCCACAUUGGGACUGAGACACGGCCCAAACUCCUACGGGAGGCAGCAGUGGGGAAUAUUGGACAAUGGGCGCAAGCCUGAUCCAGCCAUGCCGCGUGAGUGAUGAAGGCCUUAGGGUUGUAAAGCUCUUUCACCGAUGAAGAUAAUGACGGUAGUCGGAGAAGAAGCCCCGGCUAACUUCGUGCCAGCCGCCGCGGUAA